GAUGAAGAACGUAGCGAAAUGCGAUAAGUAAUGUGAAUUGCAGAAUUCAGUGAAUCAUCGAAUCUUUGAACGCACAUUGCGCCCGCCAGUAUUCUGGCGGGCAUGCCUGUCUGAGCGUCAUUUCAACCCUCAUGCCCCUAGGGCGUGGUGUUGGGGAUCGGCCAAAGCCCGCGAGGGACGGCCGGCCCCUAAAGCUAGUGGCGGACCCGUCGUGGCCUCCUCUGCGAAGUAGUGAUAUUCCGCAUCGGAGAGCGAUGAGCCCCUGCCGUUAAACCCCCAACUUUCCAAGGUUGACCUCAGAUCAGGUAGGAAUACCCGCUGAACUUAAGCAUAUCAAUAAGCGGAGGA
rnacentral:misc_RNA from 1 species